rnacentral:rRNA from 1 species
AGGAAUUAGGCAAAUUUCCCCCGUACGUUCGCAAUAAGGGGGGCCUCUGGUGGUGAGCUUAAUCGCAAAGCUGCUGGAGGCCGCAGAGAAAUGGCUCUUCCAACUGUUUAACAAAAACACAGGUCUCUGCUAAGUCGAAAGACGAAGUAUAGGGGCUGACGCCUGCCCAGUGCUGGAAGGUUAAGGGGAGAGGUUAGGCGCAAGCCGAAGCUUUGAGCCGAAGCCCCAGUGAACGGCGGCCGUAACUAUAACGGUCCUAAGGUAGCGAAAUUCCUUGUCGGGUAAGGUCCGACCCGCACGAAUGGCGUAAUGAGAGGAGCACUGUCUCAACGAGGGACUCGGCGAACAUUGAAGGACGUGUGAAGAUACACGUGACCCGCAGCGGGACAAAAAGACCCCGUGAAGCUUUACUACAACUUGCCAUUGAGUUAGGGCUAAACCUGUGUAGUAUAGGUGGGAGGCUUUGAAGCUGGGACGCCAGUCUCGGUGGAGCCACCGUUGAAAUACCACCCUGGUUUAUUCUUGGCUCUAACCUGUCGCAGUUAUCCGGCAUGGGAACAGUGGCUGGUGGGUAGUUUGACUGGGGCGGUCGCCUCCGAAAGCGUAACAGAGGCGCCCAAAGGUUCCCUCAGGCUGAAUGGAAACCAGCCGUUGAGUGUAAAGGCACAAGGGAGCUUGACUGCAAGACCAACAAGUCGCGCAGGGACGAAAGUCGGGCUUAGUGAUCCCACGGUUCAGAGUGGAAUGGCCGUGGCUUACCGGAUAAAAGCUACUCCCGGGAUAACAGGGUAGUCUGGUCCAAGAGUUCAUAUCGACGACCAGGUUCGCCACCUCGAUGUCGGCUCAUCACAUCCUGGGGCUGGAUAAGGACCCAAGGGUUGGGCUGUUCGCCCAUUAAAGUGGUACGUGAGCUGGGUUCAGACCGUCGUGAGACAGGUCGGUCUCUAUCCGCUGUGGGCGUAAGGGAUUUGAGAGAAGCUGCCCCUAGUACGAGAGGACCGGGGUGGACGGACCUCUAGUGUGCCAGUUGUUCUGCCAAGAGCAUUGCUGGGUAGCUACGUCCGGCAGAGAUAACCGCUGAAAGCAUCUAAGUGGGAAACUCGUCUCAAGAUUAGAUCCCUCAUCCGUAUGGAGUAAGACCGCUAGAAGACUACUAGUUUGAUAGGCGGCAGGUGUAAGCGCAGUAAUGUGUUCAGCUUAGCCGUACUAAUGGUCGAGGGCUUACGUUU